rnacentral:rRNA from 1 species
GUGGGGAAUAUUGGGCAAUGGGCGCAAGCCUGACCCAGCAACGCCGCGUGAGGGAAGAAGGCUUUCGGGUUGUAAACCUCUGUCCUUGGUGACGAAACAAAUGACGGUAGCCAAGGAGGAAGCCCCGGCUAACUACGUGCCAGCAGCCGCGGUAAUACGUAGGGGGCGAGCGUUGUCCGGAAUUACUGGGCGUAAAGGGUGCGUAGGUGGCCUUUUAAGUUGGAUGUGAAAUACCCGGGCUUAACUUGGGGGGUGCAUCCAAAACUGGGAGGCUAGAGUGCAGGAGAGGAAAGCGGAAUUCCUAGUGUAGCGGUGAAAUGCGUAGAUAUUAGGAGGAACACCAGUGGCGAAGGCGGCUUUCUGGACUGUAACUGACACUGAGGCACGAAAGCGUGGGGAGCAAACAGGAUUAGAUACCCGGGUAGUCC